rnacentral:pre_miRNA from 1 species
CCUGAGCCUUGCACUGAGAUGGGAGUGGUGUAAAUCUCAAGUGUGCACAGCUCCCAUCUCAGAAUAAGGCUCAGGUG